rnacentral:tmRNA from 1 species
GGGGUUGACAGGAUUUGACAGCGGGAUUAGAUGGUAUGUAAGCACGCGGAGUCUCGUUGGCUGUCUCCUAAAUCGCAGCGAUCAACAAAUUAAUUGGCGAAAACAAUUACGCUCUCGCUGCCUAAUCGAAGUAUAGUAGAUUAUCGGCUUUAUUCCGUCACAAGGUGAUGGAACGAGACACUGCUCCGAGGAUGUUGAUCCGAAUCCGGAGAUUAAGCGGUGCAGAUUAAAUCGGAAAUAGUCUUAAUCGGCCUUGAGGUUAAGAUGAAACUAAAGAGGAUAAGGUGGCAGUUGGUGGUCCGGGUCUUGCUGUCACACGAAAAUUAAGGCCGGAAUAAACGUGUAGAAAGCGUAUGGUUUACCUGUUUGGACGUGGGUUCGAAUCCCACCAGCUCCACAA